GAUGAACGCUAGCGGCAGGCUUAACACAUGCAAGUCGAGGGGUAGAGGAAGCUUGCUUCCUUGAGACCGGCGCACGGGUGCGUAACGCGUAUACAAUCUACCUUUUACAGAGGGAUAGCCCCAGAGAAAAUUUUGGAUUAAUACCUCAUAGUAUUUUCGGUAUCGCAUGAUUUGAUUAUUAAAGUUACCAACGGUAAAGAAUGAGUAUGCGUCCCAUUAGCUAGAUGGUAAGGUAACGGCUUACCAUGGCAAUGAUGGGUAGGGGUCC
rnacentral:rRNA from 1 species